CGGGUCCCACCGCGCGCUGCUCGCGGGCAAGCCGCUGGGCUCUGGCGCCUUGAGCAUCCGAGCAGGUCCUGCCCCCGCCGUAGGGGACCUAGAGCUGCCCUCCGCUCCUUGUCCCGGGCCAGAGGCGGACACUAGGCGGUAGAAGCAGCUGCAGGGUCUGCCCUGCCCCCGCCCCGCGCGGAGAGCUGCUGCCAGGAACAGCAAUAUUAAUAGGUACAAACUUCCUGGAAAGAUUUUCGUCUUCGCGGUAAAUGACCCCUCCUUGUCUGCCGGGGCAGGCGACGGGGAAGCCUGGGACCCACAGGAGCCAGGGACAUUUGGGACCCAUGGAGCUGUGGCUCACGAGAGCUGAGGUUCAUUGGUUGGGGACCCACUCGGUGGGCAGGUCACAGACACCGUAGGGCAGGGCUGGGCUCGCCUUGGUAAAUUAGGCGUUGGAGCCGCGACGCCCGAUUGCCAUUCCUCGGGAGCGCGCACGCCCUGGGCCACCCCGCCCGUAUGCAGCGGCCGUAGCUCCUCCUCCGGAUCGGGCUUCGGGGACCUUUGGUCACUUAGGAGCACCCAAACAACUCUGCAGCUGGUGCCCAUAGGUGCGCGUCAUUCCUUUCUCUAGAAUUACCUGGCCCAGAAGCAGUUGUAGCCAAAGCCACCUCUCUCUUUCCCAGUCGCCAAGAGAGGACGGAUCAGGAAGCGUCCCACCGGCCGCUUGGGCGCUGUGUGGUCAGUCCAUGCCUGCAUCUUGCGGAUAGUCAGGUCCCAGUGCCUCCGCAGGAGGCUCACUCCCCGUACGGUGGCUGGAGUUCCCAAACCCUUUUUUUUUUUUACAACUCUGGACAGGGCGCCUGUUCUAGAUUGGUUGGAGGUGUUUUCCCACCUGAAAGUCAUCAUUCAUUGAAAAUAUUUAUUGAAGCCGAUGUGGUGGGAAGCUUGUAAUUCCAGCACUCUGGAGGCAGAGGGAAGAGGAUCUCCCAUAGGUAAAGUUAGCCAGGUACUGAGCCCUUGACUUAAACAAACAAAUUAUCGCUACAAAGCAAACACAAAAAUCCUCUUUCCCAAAACU
rnacentral:lncRNA from 1 species